AAGCCCUGAGCACUAGUGGGAUCAUUUCUAUAGUAUGUGACUAGAGAAGUUUCUCUGAUCCUGUAGAGCACCCGAACCCACGAGGAGGAGCCAGAGCAACCUCUCCUGAGUGUGAAGCCAGCUCUAGGUGUCGCUUCUGCGACUGCCUUUUGCCAUUGAUGAUCGUUCUCCCUUUCCUCCGGAGAGGGUAGAGGGAGAGGAUGCAGUCUGAGUAGU